AUACGUAGGGAGCGAGCGUUGUCCGGAAUUACUGGGUGUAAAGGGAGCGUAGGCGGGACGGCAAGUCAGAUGUGAAAUACCGAGGCUCAACUUCGGGGCUGCAUUUGAAACUGCGAGUCUUGAGUGAUGGAGAGGCAGGGGGAAUUCUCCGUGUAGCGGGAAAAUGCAUAGAUAUUGGGAAGAACACCAGUGGCGAAGGCGGCCUGCUGGACAUUAACUGACGCUGAGGAGCGAAAGUGUGGGGAGCAAACAGGAUUAGAUACCCUGGUAGUCCACACCGUAAACGAUGGAUACUAGGUGUGCGGGGACUGACCCCCUGCGUGCCGCAGUUAACACAAUAAGUAUCCCACCUGGGGAGUACGAUCGCAAGAUUGAAACUCAAAUGAAUUGACGGGG
rnacentral:rRNA from 1 species